rnacentral:rRNA from 1 species
GACGAACGCUGGCGGCGUGCUUAACACAUGCAAGUCGAACGGAGAUAGCGGAAGAUUUAUCAGAAGCUAUUUUAGUGGCGGACGGGUGAGUAACACGUGGGUAACCUGCCCUAUGGAGGGGAUAACACAGAGAAAUCUGUGCUAAUACCGCAUAACAUAACGAAGUCGCAUGGCUUUGUUAUCAAAGAUUUAUUGCCAUAGGAUGGACCCGCGGCCCAUUAGCUAGUUGGUGAGGUAACGGCUCACCAAGGCGACGAUGGGUACGCCGAUCUGAGAGGAUGAACGGCCACAUUGGAACUGAGACACGGUCCAGACUCCUACGGGUGGCUG